AUAAACCGCAUAUUUUUGUUUAUUAUAAAAAUGCUUCGUAAUUGUAUCGUAUCAAAAAUGCCAUUUUUUAACUUUUUAUUUAUGAAUCGUCUAUAUCAUCAAAAACUUAUAACAAAACAUUCUUUAAUGUGUAUAAAUUAUACACAUAAUUUAGCUGGUAAACAACAAAGAAUAAAAGAAAAUGUGCAACCAGUUAAUAAAUUUGUUUCAAGAUCUCAUACAUGUGGUGAACUAAGACUACAAAAUGUAGGAGAGAAUGUUCAAUUAUGUGGGUGGUUAGAAUUUUUAAGAGCUAACAAAUUUUUGGUAUUGAGAGAUUCUUAUGGUUCUACUCAAUUUAUUAUACCUGAACAUAGAAAGGACUUACAAGAAAUGGCUAGGAAUUUGACCUUUGAAAGUAUAUUGAGCAUAGAAGGUAGAGUAUUAAAAAGACCAGAGGGUCAAAACAAUAAGUGCAUGGGAACUGGAGAUAUUGAAGUAGAAAUAAAAUCCUUGAAAGUUUUAAACAUAGCAAGUUUAAAUAUUCCAUUUAUUAUUAGAGACUAUAAUAAGGCAAAUGAAAAUGUACAAAUGAAGUAUAGAUACAUAUCAUUAAGAUAUCCUGAAUUACAAAAGAAUUUAAGAUUACGUUCAGAAGUGAUAAUGAAGAUGAGAGAAUACCUAAUUAAAGAAUGCAAUUUUGUCGAUAUUGAAACUCCAACAUUAUUUAAAAAUACUCCUGAAGGAGCACAUGAAUUUAUAGUCCCAACAAAACUCUUGGAUCAAUUUUAUUCAUUAGUACAGAGUCCCCAACAAUUUAAACAAUUAUUAAUGGUUGGUGGCUUUGACAGAUAUUUUCAAGUUGCAAGAUGUUACAGGAAUGAAAAGCCUAGACAUGAUAGACAACUUGAAUUUACACAGCUGGAUAUUGAAAUGUCAUUCGUUGAUUGUGAAGGAAUAAUGAUGUUAAUUGAAAACUUAUUAGCAUAUUCUUGGCCUCAAGAAUCAGGAGAAUUAACUAUUCCUUUUAAACACAUAAAAUACGAGGAUGCAAUGGAAUUAUAUGGUACAGACAAACCAGAUUUACGAAUACCACAACAACUUUGUAGACUGACGGAAUUAAUUGAUCAUUCAGUAUUAGAACAAAGUUUAAAAAUGGAACAAAAUGAACACCGUGAAGUUUAUGCUCUAGUUUUUUCCCAAAAACAUGAUUUUCUUACAAAAUCUAUCAAAGAUACUAUAUCUGAACUACAAUGUACUUAUUUCCCUUCUGUGAAAUUAAUACAAACAAAGAUACCUAACAAAUCGCCAGUAAUAACAAAUAUUAUUGAUGGAAAUGUACAACAAAAGUUAAAUUUAAAAAAAGGAGAUGUACUGUUUUUAGCUUGUGGAGAAAAAGUAAACACGCAAUCACUAUUAGGAAAAGUACGUCUUGAAUUUACAAAGUUUUUAGAAAGUGAAGGUCAAGAAAUAUUUACUAGUAGGAAUGAAUUAUUAUGGAUCACUGAUUUCCCUUUAUUUUCGUUUAAUACUAAAACAAAUUCAUUAGAAACUAUGCAUCAUCCAUUCACGCAACCUCAUCCAGAUGAUAUGCAAUAUCUUAUGAACAAUCCACUGAAGGUUAGAGGAUUGCAUUAUGAUUUGGUUAUGAAUGGUUUCGAGAUCGCAGGAGGAUCGAUACGAAUCCAUGACUCAAAAUUACAAAAACAACUAUUUAAGAUGCUAAAUAUAGAUGAAACACACUUAAUGCAUGUACUUGAUGCUUUAGAAUCUGGUGCUCCACCUCAUGGUGGAAUUGCUAUAGGAUUGGACCGUUUAAUGUGUUUGCUCUGUAACACAAAAGAUAUAAAAAACGUGAUAGCAUUUCCAAAAACUACUACAGGUCGAGAUUUAAUGUCAGGAGCUCCGGUUCCCAUUUCUGAGGAAAUAAAAAGAUUCUAUAACAUACAGACGGUAGACAAAUAAAACAAUAUUCAAGAAGUAUCUUUUGUAUUUUUUACUCUAUUGUAAAAAUAUUUAUAAGAGGCUAGCUGGUCAUAUUCACUUCAAAAACAGAAGUGAAAAGGGAGAACGCUAAUGUAAUAUUAACAAAGUCAAUCAAGCAAUGUGAACUAAGGAUAAGAGCCUCUAGUGGUCAGUGCCCAAACUAUAUGCACAUUUCUUUUCCGAUGCUCUGGGUGAAAGAAAUGUGCAUAUGUACGACGAAGGGAAAUUCGUAUUGACGAUCGGCGAAGGAUAAG